GACGUAGGAGGCGAGCGUUGUCCGGAUUCAUUGGGCGUAAAGAGCACGCAGGCGGUUUGGCAAGUCGGAUGUGAAAACCCGGAGCUCAACUCCGGACCUGCAUCCGAAACUGCCCGACUAGAGGUAGGUAGGGGAGAUCGGAAUUCCUGGUGUAGCGGUGAAAUGCGCAGAUAUCAGGAGGAACACCGAUGGCGAAGGCAGCUCGCUGGGACGGUACUGACGCUGAGGCGCGAAAGUGUGGGGAGCGAACAGG
rnacentral:rRNA from 1 species